CCGGGUCAGGGGUGCCGUGCACGUUCCCAUGUGGACAGCGGGAGAGGAGAGCGUGGAUAGUGUCUUAAAAUCAAAAUUAAACGAAAAGGAAAAGCAAAAUGACCUCUUUAGCCUAUCAGCUGAAGCGCUUGGCACUCCCCCAAACUGAUGCAAGUCUUUUCUCUCGCAAAGAAGUUGCAUCAUUGUUGUUUGAUUGUAAGGAAGCUGCUACCAUUGACAGGGAAACAUUCUUUGCCAUAGGAUGUACUGGCCUAGAGGAACUUAUUGGAAUUGAUCCAUCUUUUGAAGAAUUUCAGUCAACACUGUUCAGUGAAGCUUCCAAAGGUCUAGAGCGUAGUGUCCAGACAAAAGAAGUGAAUGCCCAGCUCGAUGAGAAUAUUUUGCGUUUCCUAACACGCUUAUCUCCGUUCUUCAUGCUAAAGCCUGCCCAGAAAUGCCUUGAAUGGCUUAUUCACAGGUUCCAUAUCCAUCUGUAUAAUCAUGACAGUUUGAUUGGAUGCAUUCUUCCCUAUCACGAAACAAAAGUGUUUGUGAGAGUCAUUCAGCUUCUUAAACUCAAAGAUGCAACUUAUCGUUGGCACUGGCUACAACGCAUACAGAAACCAGGCAUCCCAUUGGCAAGGAGCACUUUAAUCACGCAUUGUUACAAAGAUCUGGACUUCAUGGAUUUUAUUUGUAGUUUGGUAACCAAGGCAGUCAAGGAAUUUGCUGAUUAUCCCAACACUGCAGCACAUUUGAGAGUCUUGUUUUCUUUCUAUGCAUCGACCAUUGUUGGAGCAUUAAGUGCUGUGGAUAAAGUCACCGACCCCAUCGUUGCUAAGUUGCUUCCAUAUAUCCAGAAGGGACUGAAAUCUUCAUUAGCAGAUUACAGAGCUGCUACGUACAUGAUAGUCUCUCAGCUUGCCGUGAAAGUUGUCUUGGAGUCUUCUCUGGUAAAUACUCUAGCCCAGCAAAUCUGUAAAAUGCUUGCGAAGAUCCCAGUUCUGAUCCGAGAAGGAUUAAGCUGCCUGAUUAUUUUACUGCAGCAUCAGAAGAGUGAAAAGAUUAGUCAAAAGACCUUUAAUAAUCUCUGUAAUAUCCCUGACCUUAUCACGAAUCUUCAAGCAAUUGAUGUUCAAUAUAAAGUUUCUCCCCUGCUCAGUCAUCUUCUCCCCAAUCUGAUCCAUUCCAUCAUCACAGCUGAAGAAGAGGAAGAAAGUCCUGGUGCACAAACACACUUCCAACUUCUAGAGGCUGUACUUCAGACUAUUACACUGCAGGACAACUUGGACCAGACUACAGCCAACAUGCUUCUCGAGGAGUAUAUUUCUCAUUCGACACAGGAUGUUGACCCUGAUAGUCUUUCUGCAUUAAAUCAGAGAAUUAUGCCCUUGGUCAGACUUUUGGAAAUAAGAUACCCCAAAGCUUAUGAAUUUUCAUUGGGAUGCCAGAUGAAAAAAAUUACAAGCCAGAGAGAGCAGGAUGUCUUCAACCAAUUUAUUUCUCUGUCUUUGAGCAGUGCCAAGUAUCAGUUGUUGACAGAUUCUGACACAUCGCUGUUGCUGAGUCUCAAUCACCCACGGCUUAACGUCCGAAUAUCUGCUGUGGAACACUUAAAGGAAAUCAUUAAAACCUCACAGGAGGGAUAUGAUGAUACUUUCUUGAAAGAAAGUAUUUUGGAACGAAUAAAAGAUGACAGUCCAGAAGUAGUUCUUGUUGCUCUUCAAGCUCUGGAGGCCUACUCAAGACAUUUGGUCCAAGAAGAGAAAGUUUCUUCUCUUUUGUCACUGUUUCGACAGGUGAAUCUUUCUGAGAAUGAACACUGGUAUGUUGUUCUUGAAGAAGCAGUUAACUUAUUAAACAUGGGAAAUCUGCAUAAUGGGAGUGCACAGCUAACACACCAGAUUUGGAUGGAACUAAUGCCUUACAUGGUGCUGACCAACCCUUCAAAACAGUCGGUUGAUCAGAAAAUCACUAAGUUCAUUGUUCAUUCAGAUAUAUGCUCCAGGAAUCCACUGUUUCAUGGCUGGCCAGCAGUGCUUGAGGAAGUUUUAGACAACUGUAACAUGAAAGAAAUGGUUGGCAUGGCAAGUCAGAAAAUGAUUGAGCUCCUGGCCAAAAACUUGUGUUCAAUGGAGCCUUCUGCAAGGACUCAAAUGAUAGGAAACAUUGUGCAAGUUAUUAAAAAAGAAACCUCAACCCUGAAGCAGAAGCUCAACUCUGUGGUACUGAGUUUUGCUGUAGUCCAGACCUUAGAGAUGCAGCCAGAUCCAGAUUAUUUGCAACAUGCUUUACAAGUGUAUGGUGUUUUAGAGAAGAAACUGAAGAAACUAGUUUCAAAAAGCAGAGACUGGAAAAUUACACGGAAGUGGCAUCUUCUUCAUAUUGAAGGGAACGUGGUACCAGUGGAGCUGCUUACUGAGUAUGUGGAGCAUUUGAAGGAUGAUGUUGGGUGGAGUGCAGAAUCUGGAUUUAUACUCAUUUUGCUGCUCAAGAACUUAAUUAUGGCUUUCAAACCACCUGAAUCGCUGCUCGAAGAUCUCUCUUGGUGGAACCCUGAAAGUUUGGAUGAGCAAAAUUGUGAUUAUCUUCAUCUUCUCAUUGAUGUGUUUGAUCUUAUUAUAUGUGGUGCAAGUGAGGGAAGCCUUGUAGCAAGCUUCAGGAUACUCUUGCAGCUUCUGAUUCAGACUCAUCUGCAUGACCCCAGUUGUCUGUUCAAGUUCUUGUCACUAGUGUGGACCUAUAAUUAUAACCUUAGUAACCAGCUGAAUAGAACAGUCGGUGUUAUUCUACAGACACGAGCCCUUUACUUGGGUUGUGCUCUAAUUGAUUAUGCAGGAGCACAAUUUCUAUCAUCACCAGUGGUGGUUUCCUUAGUCAUUUCUCUGAGGAGCCCUGUGAGAGAGGUGCGUCGGGCAGCAAUUGCUUGUCUACAAACAAUAGCAAAAGUACCAGGAUCUGGAUUUGAUGUGGUUAUUAAUAGUCUUGCUAAUAUGGCAGAAGAAAUCAUUGCAGAUCCUAUGCAUUUAAAUCAGGCACUAGGCACAUUAUUUGAAGAACUUUUAACACCCAGUAGACUGGCAGGGUCACAGCACACAAACCUGACACAAGCUCUCGAGAAUUUUCUGCAGUGUUUUGGGGAUCAAGGUCAACCAUCGUAUGUUACACGUAAUUUGCUGAGCGCAUUUGAACAAGUGAAUGGAGAGAUCGUAUUAUGCAGAUUAUUACCCCUACUGGAGAGACUCCAAGGAAAGGAACCUGAUGCUUUCCUCAAGGAUGAAGCCCUUCUACUGCACAUGAUUCUCUCAAAAUACAAUGAGCAAUCAGCAACUUUACUGGCAAAGAAUUCACCAAGUCUGGAUCUUUUCAUCAGUGCCUUGAAUAAUUCCAAGGAAAUAUACAGAGGCUUGCCAGCACUGCAAAUCACUGCAUUUGGACAGAUUACAAAGAGUUUCUUUGCAGCGCUGUCUGAUGUGAAGAUACAACAGAGGUUGCUGGGAGUACUAUUCGACUUGCUCGUGCAGACUAAAAACCCAGUUUGUGCACAAGCUCUAAACAGUGUUUUCAAGGCGAUUGUAAUUGAGGCAGAGCAAAUUGCCCGGGAGCUGGGACCCCUGGAAAAAUCUCCAAGUCGUGCAACCAUUCAGCAGACCAGAAGGAAAAAAAUGCAACAUCAAAGGAAGCCCCAAGAUCUGCAGAAUUUGGAACCUGUUUCCUUAACAGAUAAUAUUAACUGGCAGAGAGUAACCCUCAUCAUGGAGUUGUUGCAACACAAGAAGAAACUGAAAAAUCCCCAGAUGUUGGUUCCUACCCUUUUCAGUCUCCUGUCCAGGUCUCUAGAUCCUGCGUUGUCUGAGCAGAGCACCCUGGAGUACACAAAGCAGCUGAUCCUCAAUUGCUUACUGAAUCUCUGCCAGAAAUUAUCACCUGAUGGUUCCAAGAUAAGCAAUGAUGUUCUCGAUGAGGAGAAGUUUAAUGUGGAGCUAAUUGUUCAAUGUGUCAGGACUUCAAAUAUGCCUCAGACUCACCAUCAUGCACUGCUGCUCUUGGGUGCUGCUGCAGGAAUGUUCCCUGACAAGGUUCUCCAUAACAUCAUGCCCAUAUUUACCUUCAUGGGUGCCAAUGUGAUGCGACUGGACGACAGCUAUAGUUUCCAGGUCAUAAACAAGACUGUGCAAACUGUCAUCCCAGCUCUUAUUCAGGCUGACAACGAAGGUCCUGUAGAAAUCAAGGAGAAUGUGGAAAGUGUUGUAACAAAAAUUAUCCGUGUAUUUGUGGAUGCCAUGCCACACGUGCCUGAACACCGGCGAGUGCCUGUUCUUUCUAAGCUCAUUGAAACAGUGAGCGCAGAGCGUUUCCUGUGGGCCCUCCUGUUGCUGCUCUUUGAGCAGCAUGUAACCAAGACCACCUCCUCAACAUCUACUGAUGAAAAGGAAACUGUUUUGGAAAGUGAUAUUGAAUUCUGGAUCACUGUUGGCUGCGAGUUUACUGUUCAAGAACAACUCCAGAGCUUCAUUAAUAUUUUGAGUUACCUAUCUAGACUCCCUGAAGACAAAGAGGAAAAAGCAGCCAAAGACAAAGGAAAGGCAAACGCAAGGAAGAACAAAGCGGGGCAGUCAAGUGAAGCGGAACCACUGAUCAACAUCGACACUCUGACAGCCAAACAGCUACGCCAUUUCAAAUUCCUUUCCAUCUCGUUUAUGUCUCAGCAUCUCGCCUCCGAAAGUUUUAUUGCAAAGGUUGCAGAUUGUAAUACUUCUGAAGAAGAGGCACUGCAGAAGCUUGAACAAAGUUUACUGGAAGAGAUACUUUGCUACAUCAAUGUGGUUGCCCACAGUGUAGAGGAGAAUGCAGAAAAGCCAACAGCUAAAUUCUGGAGAACUCUACUCAACCGGUCAUAUGAUGUUCUGGAUAAAGUGAAUGCCUUGCUACCCACCGAAUCUUUCAUUCCAGUGAUACGAGGACUGAUGAAUAACCGCUUACCAUCUGUAAGGCGGAAAGCCAUGGAUCUCCUCAAUAAUAAGCUACAGCAGCACAAAACUGAAUGGCAGGAACAUCAGGUGAAGUUGCUUUUGAGCCCAAUUGAGGACUUCCUAAGCAUUGUUUGCUGCAAGGAGAUAGAAGAGGAACAGACCGUUAACCGUCAGACCGCCCUCUUCAGCCUGAAACUGUUGUGCAGGUGUUUUGGUACAAGUCACCAGGAUUUGUUUGUGCCUGUACUGGUGACUGCUGUUGACCUCAUCACAGAGGACAAUGAAGAGGAAAGGAAUCUGCUGGGCAAUGCAUUACUUUGCAUUGCUGAAGUUACUACUGCACUCAAAGCACUGGCAAUACCACAACUUCCAAGGCUGAUGCCAGGACUUCUGAGGAUCUUGAAAAAGCAGAAGUCUCUGAUGUCCAAUGAGAUUUAUUUGCUCAGUGCUGUAACAGCAUUACAGAGGGUUACAGAAACACUGCCGCACUUCAUCAGCCCUUACCUACUCGACGUUCUAGUACAAGUCACCCGGUUGACCAAGAUUACUGAAAAGGCAAGCCACUCAUCGCAGCUUGAUAAGCACUUGACCUCACUUCAAACUACAUUGGCCACAAAGCUAGCUUCUCGGGUUCUGUUGCCAUCGAUUAGCAAGUGCUAUGAUAAAGUUGCUGACACCAAACAGCAUUGCUUAGGUCCACUUCUCGACAUUCUAAAGCAACAUAUUUGCCAAAUGGAAAAGGUACAAUUGAAUUCCCAUCAAUCUGAGCUCACAUCAUUCUUCCUCAAAGCCCUGGAUUUCAGAGCUGACCACUUGGAGGAUGACUUGAACAAAGUAGGUGAAAUUGAAGAUCAUGUCAUUAAUUGUUUUGUUGGUAUGAUAAUGAAACUUUCAGAAGUUACCUUCAGGCCUUUGUUCUUUAAGCUGUUCGACUGGAGCAAGUCUGAGGGUUUCCCUACAGAUCGAUUGAUUACGUUCUACCGUUUGGCAAAUUGCAUUGCAGACAAGCUUAAAGGUUUAUUCACCCUUUUUGCCGGGCAGCUAGUGAAGCCCUUUGCUGAAAUUCUGGACCAGACAAAUAUUGUCAAAACAGAUCAAAGUUUCUUUGAUUCAGACAACAGCACGAAGAAAUCUUGUCUUUUACUUCAGUUCGUCAUUGAUUGCAUGCACAAAAUCUUUCUCUUCGACACUCAAAAGUUUGUCAGUAAGGAAAGAGCUGAUACUCUCAUGAUGCCCUUAGUGGAUCAGCUGGAAAACAUGCUGGGAGAUGAGGAAGAGUACGAGGACAGAAUAAGCAACCAUCUUAUCCCGUGUAUUGCUCAGUUUUCUGUUGCAGUUGCUGAUGACUCUCUCUGGAAACCACUGAAUUACCAAAUUUUGCUUAAAACAAGGCAUAGCUCACCAAAAGUGAGGUAUUCUGCUCUCGUUAUGUUGUUGAAAUUGGCUGGUAAACUAAAGGAGAACUACAUGGUGUUACUGCCUGAAACCAUCCCCUUCUUGGCAGAACUGCUUGAAGAUGAAUGUGAGGAAGUGGAGAACCACUGUCAGAAAGUGAUUAAGCAGCUGGAAGUUGUUCUUGGAGAGCCUUUACAGAGCUAUUUCUGAAAGCAGUAUUUUGUGAAUGUAGUUUUUAUAUGUACAGUAAAGCAAAGAUCACAGAUCUGGGAGGUAUUCCUGGAGUCAGAAACUACAAUGGUGCAAGGAGCCCUUAUCAAGGGAGUCAUGCAGUAGCAUUGAAUCUUGUUAAAGUUUGAUUCAUCCAAGCAAGUGGACACAAUUCCAUCCCACUCUUAUUCACAUGGUGGAACAGCUUUGAAAAGAGGUGAAGACUACUCACUCAGGAAAAAAAAAGCUGCUGGAACCACAUCAGGAUCUACAAAUCAGCAUCACUCACCAUGUUGAAGAAUAACCAGGUGGCGAGGAGUUGAAAGGGAAGAGGAUGACCAAAAUAAUGUUUUGACAUUUAAACUGCAAAGGCAAAUUAGAAUCACCAAUAAGCCAGAUGCAGCACUCCUGUAAUAAAUUGCACAAUUA